rnacentral:rRNA from 1 species
UUACGGGAGGCAGCAGUGGGGAAUUUUGGACAAUGGGGGCAACCCUGAUCCAGCCAUGCCGCGUGAGUGAAGAAGGCCUUCGGGUUGUAAAGCUCUUUCGGCCGGGAAGAAAUCGCAUAGGCUAAUACCCUGUGUGGAUGACGGUACCGGAAUAAGAAGCACCGGCUAACUACGUGCCAGCAGCCGCGGUAAUACGUAGGGUGCGAGCGUUAAUCGGAAUUACUGGGCGUAAAGCGUGCGCAGGCGGUUUAGUAAGACAGGCGUGAAAUCCCCGGGCUCAACCUGGGAACUGCGCUUGUGACUGCUAAGCUAGAGUACGGCAGAGGGGGGUGGAAUUCCACGUGUAGCAGUGAAAUGCGUAGAGAUGUGGAGGAACACCGAUGGCGAAGGCAGCCCCCUGGGCCGAUACUGACGCUCAUGCACGAAAGCGUGGGUAGCAAACAGGAUUAGAUACCCUGGU